rnacentral:rRNA from 1 species
AUGCAAAGAACUUUGAAAAGAGAGUUAAAUAGUACCUGAAAUUGCUGAAAGGGAAGCGAAGGAAACCAGUGUUAGUUGCGUCAUAUUUCCCCACUCGCUUGCGGUUGGGGCGCUGUGGCCAGCGUAGUCAGCUUUGGUUGAACGCGUCGGAUAUUAGUCAGGGGAGUUGACCCUGUCUGGUUGCGUUGCGUUUGUCUGAGGAUGACGAAAUGGUUUUCUUUUCCCCGUCUAGAAACACGGACCAAGGAGUCUAACAUAUGUGCGAGUACAGGGGUGACAAACCCCGGUGCGCAAUGAAAGUGACAGUGGCUGGAACGUUUGUUGCACAGUCCGCCGGCCAUGAUCCCUCGGGAGAACGGUCUGAGUGUGAGCAUACAUGUUGGGACCCGAAAGAUGGUGAACUAUGCCUGAAUAGGGUGAAGCCAGGGGAAACUCUGGUGGAGGCUCGUAGCGAUUCUGACGUGCAAAUCGAUCGUCAAAUUUGGGUAUAGGGGCGAAAGACUAAUCGAACUAUCUAGUAGCUGGUUCCCUCCGAAAUUUCCCUCAGGAUAGCUGCGAUCGGAUAAGCAAUUUUAUCA